rnacentral:rRNA from 1 species
GAUGAACGCUGGCGGCGUGCCUAAUACAUGCAAGUCGAGCGAACAGACGAGGAGCUUGCUCCUCUGACGUUAGCGGCGGACGGGUGAGUAACACGUGGAUAACCUACCUAUAAGACUGGGAUAACUUCGGGAAACCGGAGCUAAUACCGGAUAAUAUAUUGAACCGCAUGGUUCAAUAGUGAAAGACGGUUUUGCUGUCACUUAUAGAUGGAUCCGCGCCGCAUUAGCUAGUUGGUAAGGUAACGGCUUACCAAGGCAACGAUGCGUAGCCGACCUGAGAGGGUGAUCGGCCACACUGGAACUGAGACACGGUCCAGACUCCUACGGGAGGCAGCCGUAGGGAAUCUUCCGCAAUGGGCGAAAGCCUGACGGAGCAACGCCGCGUGAGCGAUGAAGGUCUUCGGAUCGUAAAACUCUGUUAUUAGGGAAGAACAAAUGUGUAAGUAACUAUGCACGUCUUGACGGUACCUAAUCAGAAAGCCACGGCUAACUACGUG